AAGCAGCGUAGAUGCAGGGAAAAGAAGAGAAGGGUACGAAACCCUUGUUUCAAUUUUCGAACGCCGUAACUUUUCCGUUCGAGCUCCAAUCGCCGUACCGUUCACGGCCACACGUCCAGCGCGUCGAGCUCUACAUUUUUGUCGGAUCAAUUUCACCGUGUUCUAGGUUCGAUUUAGCUUGCGGAGCUUAUUGGGUUUGAGUUGCUACGCGUAUAGGUGUGGUGUGAAUUAAGUUUAUAUACAUGCAUUGGAAUUGAGAAGUGAGCAUUUGGAGGCUUGGGGGUGAUUGAAGCUAAGCUUGUGGCUGGUUACUCUAAGCUUGAGGGGAUGUGUUGUAGCUUGUGAGGCUGCCUUGGAUUAAAUAAAGUGAUCGGUCAAGGUAACAGAAUCGUAGCUCACCACAACGUGUUCCAGGUUGAAUCUCGAUAAUCUGUUGACCCUACGUCGUAAGGGUGACCGGGCACGUAUAAAUUCUCGGAUGCAGGUCGAGAGGCUCCUCGCUAGGCGUCUGGAUUCCUGAAGCGGAGUAGUCCCUGGGAUAUUUUGGUUUAUCAGCUUAUGUAUAAUUGUACUUAAUUACUUAACUUUGUCUCCAAGAAACUUGAUUAUUUUGUUCCUCUUAGAGAUUACAGGAG